rnacentral:lncRNA from 1 species
AUGCAGGCGCCCGGAUCCGUAAUCCGAGUACUCGAGCUGGUAACACCAUUGCAUGCGACCGCGAACGUUCGCCGCCGCCGCUACGAUCGCCGCCUCUCCAGGCGGAGCGCCGUUGUGAGACCGCGAGGAAGAGGUGGCCUCGUCGGGAUGGAAGACAUCGAAGACGUGGUGGCCGCCGGAGCUCUCCCGGGGCUUCGCCUCCCCCUGACUGCCGUCGGCGUGAAGCCCAAGAAGAAGCCCAGAGCUCGCCUCAUCCGCGACCUGAAUUCCAACUCUCAAAUCCCGGGCACGCAGGUCUUCCUCUCCCCACCCCACCCCCCUCCCUCUCUCUCUU